CGUCUCAUUAACAUAAUUUAUUCAGUUACACCGCCGCUCGUUGGGGAAGGGGAUUCUGUGUUGGAACCCCGCAAGUGACGUCAUGUCACCUCCAGCUGCCGCGUGACGUCACGAUAUAUUCGUAAACUGCUGCACCGCGCGCGUUCACUGAGAUCCGAGAUAUUAGGGGCUGAACGGGCAUGGCAUUGGCUAGAGAAGAGAUUGGAGGAUGUGGAGGUGAUCGGACCUGCCAAUGACUGGUGCCAGGAGUAAAGAUCGGCCUCUGUGGAGGAGGCCCAUAAGCUGACCCUUCUUCUGACGCUUCCUCUGCAGAAUUGUUUUGAUGGAGCAAAGGCACUCAGCGCAGCUUGGUAAAAAACAACAAUGGGACCAGUAUGCAAACAGCAUAGAUAGUACUGGAAAUUUAACACAGCACCAGAGAACUCAAACAGGAGAGAAACCCUUCAAGUGCACUGUGUGUGAGAAGACAUUUGCAUGGGCAUCAGGUCUUCAGGUCCACCAGAGAACACACACAGGAGAGAAACCCUUCAAGUGCAGUGUGUGUGAG